GCCAGGGAUUGGCUGGCUCCCACUGCAGCCUGGCAGUCCUGGCAGUCCCUGGGACCCCGGCACUGCUGCAGCAAAUCCUCAGGGCAGCAUGGCACUGCCCUGCAGGGCUGGCAGAGCCCCAGGGCUGGAGUGGGUGCAUCACUGCAGCCUCGGGCUCAGGACACCCACUCCUGCGCGUCGUAGAGCCCCAGUCCUGCUCUGGCAGAGACAGCACCACCAGGAGUUAAGGCGAAAGUGAAAAUGAGCGAACGGCUUCAGAAUCUUCUAAACUAUCCGCUGACCCACCCCUUCCUGACGGGGUAUUUCUGGCCGACGCCCUUGGUUGUCGGAGCACAGUAGGCACAAAAAGAUUGGUGGCAGGUUGGUGGCCUGGGGUGCCGCGGUCCCGCGAUACCAGGAUUAGAGCAGACUCAUCGCAGCUCUCGCUCCCGGCCAGCCCACCAUGCUUCCAGUUCCAGUCAUCCUUGCAAUUAUAAAGGUCGUUGGAUUAGCUGUAGUCACGGCAGGAAUUACAGUUAUAGCGGUAUGCAAAGACAAGUUAACCAUCAAAGCAAAGAACAGAUAUUAUUCCUUCUAUUUUCAAGCUGUGGGGAAACACAAGGACUGACUCUGCCCUCUAAGCAGCAGCAGACAUCAUGCUGUCUGUUGGAAGAACUGCUGGUGCCCACUGCCAUCAAACAGAAAGUGAUUUCCUUCCUUCCAACUGGCUUGAUUCCUGUCUUCCCACUACUGGAACUGGAAAGCCUUGAGACCGCCAGCUGCCCCUUCAAAAGAUUUGGAUUGCCUUGAGCAAAAAAUGCUAUUGAAAACUUUAAUAAAAGUGCAUUGCUUUUGUGGGUGUGUGUGGUGGUGCCUGGUGUACAUCAUGGCUCAGGUUCCUGCCCUGCCGCUGGGGAUGUGCUGUGCUCCAGGAAGGGCUUGUACAGGCAGUGUUUCCAGCCUUGCUCCCUGUCCCCCUACACAGCCAGGGGCUGGCUCCCGGGCUGCUGGCAGAGCAUCCUGGGUGGAGCAUGGCUUGCACCACAAGCUCUCGGGGCUUUGGAGACCUGCUCUUUUCCUGGGGGCUCUUCUACUGGGGGGCUUUGUUGUGCUUUUCUUUGGGGCUUGGUGACUUUGAGGCAUUUUGAGUUUGGGGGCUGGUGAGCCUUGUGUUUUUGCUUUGGCUCCAGCCUGCUGAGCUUCUGUGCUUCUUUGCCCUGGCCCUAGCCCGCUUUUUGUCCUUUUUGCCCUUACUCUCAGCCUGCCUUUUGGCUCUUCUGCCCUGGCGGGCUCUCACUCGCCGUGGCGUCUGUCCCGCCUCCCUGUGUCCCUGCCCGCCGCCCUGCCGCUCUGUCCCUGAGUUCCUGCCUCAGCCACCUGCGUCCCACCCUGCUCUCCUCCCACCCAGCCCACCGUGCCGCCCGAUCCCCGCCGUGCCCCUGUCCGGGCUCCCGCACCUCCUGCCCCAGCGCCCGCUCAGUGCCCGCGGGUCCGGCCGCAGGGAGCCGCAGCACAUCCUGUGAGCAUCGACGGCACUCCCCAUCUGCUCCUGCUCGCUCCCGACAUUUGUCUUCGGCUUCCUCUCUUUCGCUCUCCACCCUCGCCUUUUCCGUUUUCCUUUCUCCUUUGUCUUUCCUAGCACUUUUUAGUAGGGUAAUUUCUUUUUUUGUUUGUUUUUUCGUUAUCAAUAAACACUUUUCAGAUACACUGUUGUCUCAGUUGACUUAACUUCAUUCCGGAUCAUCUAUUUUUAAAAUAAUUCUUCACACUUUCCCAGAUUAGAAAGCCACAGGCUCCCUGCAGGGACAGCCCCAAGGUCCAGUGUCCUGGAGAUGGGGGAGCCCCAGCCCUGCUCAAGCAGAGACAGCAAAAUCAAGAAUUGAUGAGAAAGAAAGUGAAACUCAGUGAUUGAGCAAUUUCUCAUUCAUUACCUGUCAUUCAUUCCCUUUUGGGCUCUUUCCUGCAGCCCUUUGACCCUCAGAGCACAGGAGACACAGGACAGGUACGGGGAUUAGGGCAGACUCAUUGCAGCUCUUCCUCCUGCCUAGCUGACCAUGGUACUGAGAUUCAGGCGAAAUCGGACUUCUGCAUGAAUGCCGAGGGUGCACGUCUCCAUGCUGGGGAACAAAAGCAAGAUUCCUUCCUUCCAAGCACUGGACUCGUCUUCAAAUGGCCAGUGCCGAAAUGUCAAAUCCCUUCCACAGCUUCUGCUUUAAAUGGCAAACGCCCCGUGA